AGUCGUAUGCUCGUCUCCGAGACUAAGCCAUGCAAGUCCAAGUACACGUCCUUGAACGACGGAAACUGCGAACGGCUCAUUAAAAUCAGUUGCGAUCUACUCGGCGUUCCGCGCCGCCGGAUAACCGUAGUAAUUCUAGGGCUAAUACGUGCGAAGCGCCCGAAGCCGCGAGGCGACGGGCGUUCUCGCCGGAUGUAGGAACCGACCCCGGGGACCGCCGGGGCAACCCCGGCGCCCCCGAGACGGGGCGAACCACGGUGAAAUGACGGAUCGUCGGCCCCGCGCCGGCGACUCGCCGAAUGAGUUUCUGACCUAUCAACUCGAGACGGCGGGGUAGAGGCCCGCCGCGGUAACGACGGUAACGGGGGAAUCAGGGUUCGAUUCCGGAGAGGGAGCCCGAGAAACGGCUACCACUUCCAAGGAAGGCAG
rnacentral:rRNA from 1 species